rnacentral:other from 1 species
AGUCAUCUGAGUUGUUCGUAAGUUUGCUUUUUAAUUUGGGCCUAACACUCUUUGAUCAAGGGAGCCCAAUGGGUUUUCUUGCAGUGUACACGCCUUAUAUGAAGGACGUACAAAACAAGAAACAGGGCACCCACCUGUAUAUAACAGGCCGAAUGAUCAAGCUAUUAUAACUACGGCAAUACGGACUCUAU